rnacentral:rRNA from 1 species
UACGAAGGGGGGCUAGCGUUGCUCGGAAUCACUGGGCGUAAAGGGUGCGUAGGCGGGUUUUUAAGUCAGGGGUGAAAUCCUGGAGCUCAACUCCAGAACUGCCUUUGAUACUGAAGAUCUUUGAGUCCGGGAGAGGUGAGUGGAACUGCGAGUGUAGAGGUGAAAUUCGUAGAUAUUCGCAAGAACACCAGUGGCGAAGGCGGCUCACUGGCCCGGUACUGACGCUGAGGCACGAAAGCGUGGGGGAGCAAACAGG